GGCCGCGUAGCCAAGUGGUGAGGCAGCGGAUUGCAACCCCGCUAACCCUCGGUUCGACUCCGAGCGCGGCCU
rnacentral:tRNA from 1 species